rnacentral:SRP_RNA from 1 species
UAAUAAACACGGUACAGCAAGCAUGUAUAGAACUUGGUCAGGUCCGGAAGGAAGCAGCCAUACAAACCUCUGCUUGCGUGUGCCGUUUUUUUAUGAAAA